UAAUUUAAAGUCUAACCUGCCCAAUGAUUAUUAAUUGAAUGGCCGCGGUAUUUUGACCGUGCUAAGGUAGCAUAAUAAUUAGUUUUUUAAUUGAGAACUGGUAUGAAUGGUUGGACAAAGAAAAUUCUGUCUCAAGUUUAAUUUAAUUAGAAUUUUAUUUUUAAGUAAAAAAGCUUAAAUAAUUUUAAAAGACGAGAAGACCCUAUAGAGUUUUAUAUUAUUUAUUUUAAUUAAUUUAAGGAAUUUUAUAUUUUUUAUAGUGAAUAGUAUUUUGUUGGGGUGACAAAAAAAUUUAAUUAACUUUUUUUAUAUUUUAUCAUUAAUGUAUGAUUAAGUGAUCCAUUUUUUAUGAUUAUAAGAUUAAAUUACCUUAGGGAUAACAGC
rnacentral:rRNA from 1 species